rnacentral:rRNA from 1 species
AUAUUGGACAAUGGGCGCAAGCCUGAUCCAGCCAUGCCGCGUGGAUGAUGAAGGCCCUAGGGUUGUAAAGUCCUUUCGACGGGGAAGAUAAUGACGGUACCCGUAGAAGAAGCCCCGGCUAACUUCGUGCCAGCAGCCGCGGUAAUACGAAGGGGGCUAGCGUUGCUCGGAAUCACUGGGCGUAAAGCGCACGUAGGCGGGCUUUUAAGUCGGGGGUGAAAUCCUGGAGCUCAACUCCAGAACUGCCUCCGAUACUGGAAGUCUCAGAGUCCGGGAGAGGUGAGUGGAACUGCGAGUGUAGAGGUGAAAUUCGUAGAUAUUCGCAAGAACACCAGUGGCGAAGGCGGCUCACUGGCCCGGUACUGACGCUGAGGUGCGAAAGCGUGGGGAGCAAACAGGA